rnacentral:rRNA from 1 species
AUUGAACGCUGGCGGCAGGCUUAACACAUGCAAGUCGAGCGGUGAUGAGGUGCUUGCACCUUAUCUUAGCGGCGGACGGGUGAGUAAUGCUUAGGAAUCUGCCUAUUAGUGGGGGACAACAUCUCGAAAGGGAUGCUAAUACCGCAUACGUCCUACGGGAGAAAGCAGGGGAUCACUUGUGACCUUGCGCUAAUAGAUGAGCCUAAGUCGGAUUAGCUAGUUGGUGGGGUAAAGGCCUACCAAGGCGACGAUCUGUAGCGGGUCUGAGAGGAUGAUCCGCCACACUGGGACUGAGACACGGCCCAGACUCCUACGGGAGGCAGCAGUGGGGAAUAUUGGACAAUGGGGGGAACCCUGAUCCAGCCAUGCCGCGUGUGUGAAGAAGGCCUUAUGGUUGUAAAGCACUUUAAGCGAGGAGGAGGCUCUUUUGGUUAAUACCCAAGAUGAGUGGACGUUACUCGCAGAAUAAGCACCGGCUAACUCUGUGCCAGCCGCCGCAGUAAAAC